UGGCUCCUUGUGGGGUUUGAUGUUCUUGGUUGUGGUUGUGGUUCAUGCCGGUCCGGUCCGGUCCUAUUUACCGACUUCUGGCCACGGUCUCAUCAGUGACCAGUCCCGCUCUCUCCGUUCCUCCUCCGUUCUGCUCCAACCGACAACAAGGCCAUGGCGGGAGUUCUCAGCUACCAUCCGCCACCUCCUCUCCUCCGGCCACUCCACCGGAAGGGAGAUUUCCGGCGCCGAUCUAGGGUUUCCGCGGGAUCCCAAGAAUCGUCCUCUUCGAUGCCCUCCGUCUCCACUGUCACCAGCCGAGAUGGGGAAGAGAAGUCGGUAGCUUCUGCUCCAAGCCCGACACUCUCACCGCCGACGGGCUUCACGAUUCCGGAUCCGAAGCCCUUCGCUGUCCGGCCGGAUAAGAACCUCGACAUCGCAACGGCUACUCUUCCCUUGCUCUUCCGCCUGGGCACCGGAAUCUUUGUUCUCGGAUAUUCAUCAACUCUUGUGUCAGAUGAUGAUAUCCCAUCAAAUCAAUAUGCUAUGAAGGUUAGAGGUUCAAAGUUGAAAGAGACCUCAAAAUUAGGCCCCCGUCCACAGAAGCCCAUUGAGAUUUAUGAAUUUGAAAGCUGUCCAUAUUGUCGGAAGGUGAGGGAGAUUGUCAGCAUAUUGGACCUUGAUGUCUUGUUUUAUCCUUGCCCAAGAAGUGGUCCAACUUUUCGUCCGAAAGUUCUGCAGAUGGGUGGAAAGCAACAAUUUCCAUACAUGGUGGAUCCAAACACUGGUGUUGCUAUGUACGAAUCAGAUGACAUAAUAAAGUAUCUUGUUGAUAAAUAUGGCGAUGGGACCAUUCCUCUGAUGUUGUCACUUGGUCCAAUUACUACUCUAACUGCAAUGCUUGCACUCAUUUUUCGCUUGGGAAAGGGAUCUUCAUAUACUCCUUCAAAACAACCACCGGUGCCUCUUGAGCUAUGGGCAUUUGAGUCAUCUCCUUUUUGCAAAAUUGUGCGUGAAGUUCUGGUUGAGUUAGAACUACCCCACCUACUUCACAGUAUUGCUCGUGGUAGCCCAAGAAGGCACGAGUUUUAUCAGAAAAUGGGACAUUUUCAGGUCUUGUUAUUUUAUUCUUAUCCCAACGAUUGUGUGACCUUAUGCUUUUGGAAUUACAAUCAUAGAAUGUUAAUUUUAACAGGUGCCUUAUCUAGAAGACCCCAACACCGGGGUGAAAAUGUUUGAAAGCGCAGAAAUUAUUGAGUAUCUGAAGGCAACAUAUGCUCUUUAAGAAGCAUUGCGCCCCUGGCUUUUGAGGAAAAGGUGUUGCAAUAUAUGGAGAUUUGGCACCAACGUCAUUCUAAAGCAAAGCAAAGUGGAGAAGGAAUAUGUUGACAAGUGUGGCUUUCUUCCGUCUCCAUUGGCUACCUCUUGCAUUCUGAAUGACGACAGCUUUGCUUCGUACUAUGUUAUAACAUCACGGAGGAUCAAAAUAAUAGUUCAGAUCUUCAGAUACUAUUUCCGGGAAGCCCACCUUGAUAAAAAUUUGUGGAUCAUUUUCCCUUUUCAUAUAUUUGUUCCUUGUACCUAGGUAACAAGAGACCGCGCUAGACUAGGUUUUUCUAUUGUCAGUUAUGGUGCCUUUUCCUUGUCUAGGUUUCUUAUCAUGGCAUUGCAGCUAAAUCUUCGCCCCUUGUGUUUGGAAUCACAAGUUUUUAAUGGGCAACAAAUAAAUUUUAUUUAUUCCUGUGGCCAUUUUGUAAUUAAUUCUAUUGAUAAAGUGAAUUUGCGUGUCA